GGAAAGAUGCCGGAGUGGUCGUUCGGGGCGGUCUCGAAAACCGUUGACCAGCUUGCCUGGUCCCAGGGUUCGAAUCCCUGUCUUUCCG
rnacentral:tRNA from 1 species